GAACGGGUGAGUAACACGUGGGUAAUCUGCCCUGCACAUCGGGAUAAGCCUGGGAAACUGGGUCUAAUACCGAAUAGGACCACAGGACACAUGUCCUGUGGUGGAAAGCUUUUGCGGUGUGGGAUGGGCCCGCGGCCUAUCAGCUUGUUGGUGGGGUGAUGGCCUACCAAGGCGACGACGGGUAGCCGGCCUGAGAGGGUGUCCGGCCACACUGGGACUGAGAUACGGCCCAGACUCC
rnacentral:rRNA from 1 species